rnacentral:rRNA from 1 species
UACGAAGGGGGCGAGCGUUGUUCGGAUUUAUUGGGCGUAAAGAGCUCGUAGGCGGUGUGUCGCGUCGGCCGUGAAAACCUGCAGCUUAACUGUGGGCGUGCGGUCGAUACGGGCAUCACUGGAGUUCGGCAGGGGAGACUGGAAUUCCUGGUGUAGCGGUGAAAUGCGCAGAUAUCAGGAGGAACACCGGUGGCGAAGGCGGGUCUCUGGGCCGAUACUGACGCUGAGGAGCGAAAGCGUGGGGAGCAAACAGG